rnacentral:misc_RNA from 1 species
GUUGUUGUGUUGGAACUCUAGCCAAAUCCCAGUCAUUAUCAGCUAAAACAUCAAAGUUACCUCAAAAACUAAAGAUUCACCAAUUUUCGAGCCGGAGGAGACGGCGAAGGCGAUGGUCAUCAAGUCCGGAGACAAUGGAGAACAAUGUUAGUAUAUCCCAUUCUCUUGAGGCUCACCUGUCUUCAGAGCCAGCUACAAUCACUGA